AAUUUCUGCUGUCAUAAAGCUAAAGUGAAUGAGCUCUAUGAAGAAGAUUUACACACAUCCAAGCGGAGGACAACACAGCCCAAAGCCCGGAUAUCCAUAAGGCACCAAACAAAGCGAGAUCCACCAGAAAAAGGAGCCCGGCACCAGUGAGUCUGAAAACUGUGUUUCAGUGACUUCCCUUCAUACCCCUCUGCCACUCCUGAUGCACAGACACGGUCACGUGACUUCCUCCUCUCUCCUGAGAUAACGCUGGAACAACUCUUGAGCUUUCACAGCUGCCUAUAAUUGGAGUGGAAAGUAACAACAGCUGGGUGUGAUCAUAUCAGCAGGAAGCGUCUUUGCUCCUGGCUGACUCUCAAAUUGCCCCUGUCUGGCCUGCCAUUUCAAAUACAGGGACCAAACAUGGACUGGAUGAGAAUAUUAUAUGGCUGCCAUCACAGA